CAUCAUGUGCCAAUUGAGGGCAUAUGAAGUGCACAUGACAGUCUAUGGCUCCUGCAGUUACUAUAAAUCUUUCUCCAGCAAUAACCUCAGUGUUAGCCUGAGAAAGAAUGAGCAGGUGUGAGUAUGUCGCUAGAGACACAGUGGGGAAUUAUAACUUCUACACUGCUUUCACAUUUCAGUAUGAAACUUACCCCAAUUAUCAUAUUAGGAUGGACAUCGUUCAUAAUAUCUGGAUUGCCAGCUUUACCAAGGGCAACAAUAAGACCAUUUUUAAUACCAAUAUCUGCCUUGAAAAUUCCAGUAUGAUCAAUAAUCACAGCAUUCGUUAUUACAGUAUCCAGAGACUUAGCAUAGUGAUGGCCACAGGCCUGGCCCAUGCCCUCUCUUAUG
rnacentral:sRNA from 1 species